GUUCUGUUAAAUUGUUCCUUUUAAAAUUGUUAUACGAUAAUGACUGAUGUACCCAUAUUUUGACUAAUUUAUUUAUUGUGUCUGUUUAUUUAACGCAUCAAUGUAAAUAUAACGUAACUUGAUGAGACUGUCAUUAAAGUGAGAGGGUUAGCGCUAUAGAACCAGGUUUAAUCCACCAUUUUCUACAUUUGAAAAUGCCUGUACCAAGUCAGGAAU
rnacentral:lncRNA from 1 species